CCAACUGUGUGAAUUAAUGUGAACUGCAUACUGCUUUGAACAUCGACAUCUUGAACGCAUAUUGCGGCCACGGGUUAG
rnacentral:rRNA from 1 species